GACGAACGCUGGCGGCGUGCUUAACACAUGCAAGUCGAACGGUGAAGCGCCUUCCUUUUUGGUGGGUGUGGAUGAGUGGCGAACGGGUGAGUAACACGUGAGUAACCUGCCCCCUUCUUCUGGAUAACCGCAUGAAAGUGUGGCUAAUACGGGAUAUUCUGGGUCUGUCGCAUGAUGGGUCUGGGAAAGUUAUUGUUUCGGUGGGGGAUGGGCUCGCGGCCUAUCAGCUUGUUGGUGGGGUGAUGGCCUACCAAGGCGGUGACGGGUAGCCGGCCUGGGAGGGUGGACGGUCACACUGGGAAUGAGGCACGGCCCAGACUGCUACGGGAGGCAGCAGUGAGGAAUAUUGCACGAUGGGCGGAAGCCUGAUGCAGCGACGCCGCGUGAGGGAUGGAGGCCUUCGGGUUGUGAACCUCUUUCGCCAGUGAAGCAGGCCUGCCUCGUUUGUGGGUGGGUUGACGGUAGCUGGAGAAGAAGCGCCGGCUAACUACGUG
rnacentral:rRNA from 1 species